rnacentral:rRNA from 1 species
UGUAGGCUGCAACUCGCCUACACGAAGUUGGAAUUGCUAGUAAUCGUGGAUCAGCAUGCCACGGUGAAUACGUUCCCGGGUCUUGUACACACCGCCCGUCACACCAUGGGAGCUGGUAACACCCGAAGUCAGUAGUCUAACCGCAAGGAGGACGCUGCCGAAGGUGGGGAUUAGCGACUGGGGUGAAGUCGUAACAAGGUAAC